rnacentral:rRNA from 1 species
CCUACGGGAGGCAGCAGUGAGGAAUAUUGGUCAAUGGGCGCUAGCCUGAACCAGCCAAGUAGCGUGAAUGAUGACUGCCCUAUGGGUUGUAAACUUCUUUUAUAUGGGAAUAAAGUGCAGUAUGUAUACUGCUUUGCAUGUACCUUAUGAAUACGGAUCGGCUAACUCCGUGCCAGCAGCCGCCGUAAUACGGAGGAUUCGAGCGUUAUCCGGAUUUAUUGGUUUUAAAGGGAGCGUAGGCGGGUUGUUAAGUGAGGUGUUAAAGUUUGCGGCUUUAACGUAAGAUUGCAGUUGAUACUGGCAUCCUUGAGUACAGUAGAGGUAGGCGGAAUUCGAGGUGUAGCGGUGAAAUGCUUAGAUAUCACGAAGAACUCCGAUUGCGAAGGCAGCCUGCUGGACUGUAACUGACGCUGAUGCUCGAAAGUGUGGGGAUCAAACAGGAUUAGAUACCCCAGUAGUC